CGCCCCGUCGUGUUUACAAGGCCGUAGGGUAGAGGCGACCCGCAAGUGAGGGAUCUUUUCCUGGUUUUCGAUUCCCACGUGGGUGACGCCUGCGACUUCCUCAGCAAGGAUAAGUUAGUGUGCUAGUCAGCUUCGCAUCCACCAUUUCAUCGAAACCGUACAACUAAGAGGAUUCGUUUUCCUAGUUUACAGGGAGGAUUCUUGCUAAAACAGGACUCAGCAAGCCAAGGACAGCGCCCAAGGUCAAGGCUGAGUCAGAAAGAGAACUGAGAAGAGCCUUGUCACUGGUCACCAGGGAUGUGUCAGAAAACAGCUUGCUGCAAAGAACCCCUUUUCCAUGUGACUUCCAGAAGCCUCGUGGAUGCUGCCCGUGUUUACCUCCGACAAGGCCAGGCACAGACCCUCCAAAUUCCCACUCUCUGCCUCAUAGGUGAUUAGCUGAACUGCUUGUCCCCAGUAAUCGAUCAGAGCAAAAUGCUGGUCAGCCAAAUUUCGUUAAAUUCUCUCCUUCCUCCAGCCCCUGAACUUUGGUCCACGCCCAGCCUAAGCCAGCAGGCGGUCCUUCUUGCAAAGAGGACAGAAUGUUCUCUGAUCCCCUGUCCCGUUAUGCUACUCUUUGAUCCCACUUUCUAGUUCUUUUCUGCAGCCUAUAAAAGAAAAAUCUUUUUGCCCAACCCUGACGAUGCUCGCAAACCUCAUUGAUUAGGGAGCGUGGGCCAAGCCAGGGGCAAAGUACAGGCUAACAGCACCCCCCUCCACCAGGUGGGGUAUGUGUGAUAUUCCUCCGACACUCCUGCCUACCCAAGAAUAGGGGAAAGGAAAGAAAGCAAAUAGUUAACUGAUAGAGAUCACAGUCCUUCAGGACAGGAGUCUCCUUCAGUUUACGGAUAACUUAGUAAACUGCAAGAAAAAG